GACGAACCGUGCGACCGUUGUUCGGAAUCACUGGGCUUAAAGGGCGCGUAGGCGGGCUGUCAAGUCUGGGGUGAAAUGCCGCGGCUCAACCGUGGAACUGCCUCAGAUACUGACGGCCUCGAGGAAGGUAGGGGCAUGCGGAACUGUAGGUGGAGCGGUGAAAUGCGUUGAUAUCUACAGGAACUCCGGUGGCGAAAGCGGCGUGCUGGACCUUUUCUGACGCUGAGGCGCGAAAGCCAGGGGAGCAAACGGG
rnacentral:rRNA from 1 species